UACGGGGGGGGCAAGCGUUGUUCGGAAUUACUGGGCGUAAAGGGCGCGUAGGCGGCCUGCUAAGUCGAACGUGAAAUCCCUGGGCUCAACCCAGGAACUGCGUCCGAUACUGGUUGGCUUGAAUCCGGGAGAGGGAUGUGGAAUUCCAGGUGUAGCGGUGAAAUGCGUAGAUAUCUGGAGGAACACCGGUGGCGAAGGCGACAUCCUGGACCGGUAUUGACGCUGAGGCGCGAAAGCCAGGUGAGCAAACGGG
rnacentral:rRNA from 1 species